rnacentral:rRNA from 1 species
CCUACGGGUGGCAGCAGUGAGGAAUAUUGGUCAAUGGACGGAAGUCUGAACCAGCCAUGCCGCGUGCAGGAAGACGGCGCUAUGAGUUGUAAACUGCUUUUGUACAAGGGUAAACCUGAAUACGUGUAUUCAGCUGAAAGUACUGUACGAAUAAGGAUCUGCUAACUCCGUGCCAGCAGCCGCGGUAAUACGGAGGAUCCAAGCGUUAUCCGGAUUUAUUGGGUUUAAGGGGUGCGUAGGCGGAUUGAUAAGUUAGAGGUGAAAUGUCCGGGCUUAACUCGGGAACUGCCUCUAAUCGUGUUGAUCGAGAGAGUAGAUGCGGUAGGCGGAAUGUAUGGUGUAGCGGUGAAAUGCUUAGAGAUCAUACAGAACACCGAUUGCGAAGGCAGCUUACCAAUCUAUAUCUGACGUUGAGGCACUAAAGCGUGGGGAGCAAACAGGAUUAGAUACCCGGGUAGUC